ACCAGUUACAAUAGCUCGCUGAAUGCACCAGUUCUCCAUGGGUCACUGAAGUUAAGCAACGUUGUGCAUGGUUAGUAUCUGAAUGGGUGAUCAUCUGGGGAAUCAUGUACUGCUGGUU
rfam:Asian citrus Psyllid, Diaphorina citri - Florida Strain, whole genome shotgun sequence.